GAUGAACGCUGGCGGCGUGCCUAAUACAUGCAAGUCGAGCGAACGGACGAGAAGCUUGCUUCUCUGAUGUUAGCGGCGGACGGGUGAGUAACACGUGGAUAACCUACCUAUAAGACUGGGAUAACUUCGGGAAACCGUAGCUAAUACCGGAUAAUAUUUUGAACCGCAUGGUUCAAAAGUGAAAGACGGUCUUGCUGUCACUUAUAGAUGGAUCCGCGCUGCAUUAGCUAGUUGGUAAGGUAACGGCUUACCAAGGCAACGAUGCAUAGCCGACCUGAGAGGGUGAUCGGCCACACUGGAACUGAGACACGGUCCAGACUCCUACGGGAGGCAGCAGUAGGGAAUCUUCCGCAAUGGGCGAAAGCCUGACGGAGCAGCGCCGCGUGAGUGAUGAAGGUCUUCGGAUCGUAAAACUCUGUUAUUAGGGAAGAACAUAUGUGUACGUAACUGUGCACAUCUUGACGGUACCUAAUCAGAAAGCCACGGCUAACUACGUG
rnacentral:rRNA from 1 species